GAUGAACGCUGGCGGCGUGCCUAAUACAUGCAAGUCGAGCGAAUGGACGAGAAGCUCGCUCUUCUGUUGUUAGCGGCGGACGGGUGAGUAAUACGUGGAUAACCUACCUAUAAGACUGGGAUAACUUCGGGAAACCGUAGCUAAUACCGGAUAAUAUUUUGAACCGCAUGGUCCAACAGUGAUAGACGGUCUUGCUGUCACUUAUAGAUGGAUCCGGGUUGCAUUAGCUAGUUGGUAAGGUAACGGCUUACCAAGGCUACGAUGCAUAGCCGACCUGAGAGGAUGAUCAGCCACACUGGAACUGAGACACGGUCCAGACUCCUACGGGAGGCAGCAGUAGGGAAUCUUCCACAAUGGGCGAAAGCCUGACGCAGCAACGCCGCGUGUGUGAAGAAGGUCUUCGGAUCGUAAAGCUCUUUUAGUAGGGAAGAACAUAUGUUGAAUAAACUGCGCACAUCUUGACGUUACCUAAACAAAAAGCCACGGCUAACUACGUG
rnacentral:rRNA from 1 species